rnacentral:pre_miRNA from 1 species
GUGAGGUCAUGCGGAUUUUUCACCAAGAUUCAAGUGGUUAUCUGGAUCUUUUGACUUAAGUGCUCCUACCACAAUGUACCUAGCGUUUUAUUACCCAUGUUUUUUUAUUAUCAUAUUGUACCUGGGUGCAAUUAUGUGCAAGUUAUAUGUGGUCACUGGAUUGCAUGUAACAAGUAAGGUUCACGUAGCUUCUUGAACCUUAGGGAAAAGCCGCAUAACACCAUUA